GCUUUUCACCGGCAGGUCAGUAGGCCUUUUAGAAGCCGAACAAAUGAGCCGGUGAAAAAAAAAGAAAGCUAGAAUUUCCAAUAUUGAGACCAGCUUGACAAGCUACCUUUCCUCUUGAUCUGGGUGUGAAGAUAAUUUUUUAUGACUUCCACUUCUCGAUCCCGGCCCGAUAAAGUGACCGACCCCUUGAUGAAUGAAAGAAUGACUUCCACUUCUCGAUGCUUGGUGGCAAGGCUAACUAAGUAUAUGAUGAAGUUCUUAGAUAUUGUGAACAACCUUAACGUAGUUUCCUUUGUCUGUAUUGGUGAUGUUCCUAUCUAUGGUUAAC
rnacentral:lncRNA from 1 species